rnacentral:rRNA from 1 species
GACGAACGCUGGCGGCGUGCUUAACACAUGCAAGUCGAACGGAAAGGCCCUGCUUUUGUGGGGUGCUCGAGUGGCGAACGGGUGAGUAACACGUAAGUAACCUGCCCUUGACUUUGGGAUAACUUCAGGAAACUGGGGCUAAUACCGGAUAGGAGCUCCUGCUGCAUGGUGGGGGUUGGAAAGUUUCGGCGGUUGGGGAUGGACUCGCGGCUUAUCAGCUUGUUGGUGGGGUAGUGGCUUACCAAGGCUUUGACGGGUAGCCGGCCUGAGAGGGUGACCGGCCACAUUGGGACUGAGAUACGGCCCAGACCCCUACGGGAGGCAGCAGUGGGGAAUAUUGCACAAUGGGCGGAAGCCUGAUGCAGCAACGCCGCGUGCGGGAUGACGGCCUUCGGGUUGUAAACCGCUUUCGCCUGUGACGAAGCGUGAGUGACGGUAAUGGGUAAAGAAGCACCGGCUAACUACGUG